rnacentral:misc_RNA from 1 species
UUUACUAAUUGAUGAAUCUGUUUCAGGUGACACGAUAGCUCUGUGCGGACUGCAAUGCGUUCUUCGCCCUCACAAAUUCUACUUUGUAAGUUACUUUCUUAUAAUAGAGUCAAGAUUUUACUUUAUGAAGAUUUGAUAUAAUAGUAAUUGAUGGUUCUCUUUCAGGUGAGACGAUAGCUCUGUGCGAGCUACAGUGCGAUCUACGCGCUCUAAAAUCCUACUUUGUAAGUUACUUUCUUUAAUAAAGUGAAAAUUUUACUUAUUGUAAAUUUGAUAUUUUACUAAUUGAUGGUUCUCUUUAAGGCGAGAAGAUAGCUCUGUGCGAGCUACAAUGCAAACUACGCACUCACAAAUACUUUUUUGUAAGUUACUGUCUUUUAUUACAGUGAAAAUUUUACUUUUUGUAGUUUUGAUGUUUUACUAAUUGAUUCUUCUCUUUCAGGUGUAACGUUAGCUCUGAGCGGGCUACAUUGUGAUCUACACAAAUUCUACUUUGUAAGUUACUUUAUUUUAAUAAACUGAAAUUCUUAUUUUUUUAUAUUUGAUAUUUUACUAAUUGAUGCAUCUCUUUCAGGUGAGACGUUGGCUCUGUACGAGCUACCACGCGAUCUACGCCAUCAAAAAUUCUACUUUGUUAGUUACUUUCUUUUAAUACACUGAUAAUUUUAGUUUUUGUAGAUUUGAUAUUUUACUAAUUGAUGAUUCUCUUUCUGGUGAGACGUUAGCUCUGUGCGGGCUACAUUGUGAUCUACGCCCUCGCCAAUUCUACUUUGUAAGUUACUUUCUUUU